AAAAGUGCGAGGCUGUCAUCGACCCAAAUCGAGAAGUAUAUCCAAACGGGCUUCAGAACACCAAGCUAUGUACGGCAACAAAACUGUCCGACAGAGAUGUGUGCAAGGGUGACUCUGGCGGUCCAAUGGUGCAUCUCCGCUCCGAUGGUCGGUAUCAGCUGGUCGGAGUCGUUUCGGGAGGGACCGCGACGUAUUGCAAAGUUACCGCAAACUCUCUGAGUAUUUUCAACCGAGUCAGCACAUAUGUGGACUGGGUACACAACAAGAUGAAGUGACACAUACGCGCACGGAACAGGCCGGAACACAGCCGUCAUAAGUCGCUGUUUGCUGGACAAACGCGUGACCAUCGCACCCUCGUGUUUAAGCUUGAGACAGCUGCUGUGCAAGUUUGAGACAGCUUUAUUCCCUUGCAAGGGUGUCGCCAUCAACUUUGAUAGUGGGAAGAGGGCAUGAUGCCGUCACAACGGUGCUUGAAUAAAAGUGGGUGAGAAA